ACACAGGGGGCGUCAGAGUCUGCAUCCGUGGCCAACUCACCAUAUAUUUUUUUUUUUUUUUGCUUUUUAGGGCUUCACCCUGGCAUAUGGAAGUUCCCAGGCUAGGGGUUGAAUUGGAGCUACAGCUGCCCACUUAUGCCACAACCACGGCAAUGCCAGAUCUGAGUCACAUCUGCAACCUACAGCACAGCUCACAGCCACCCUGGAUCCCUGACCCACUUAGCAAGGCCAGGGAUUGAACCCGCAUCCUCAUGGUUCCUAGUCAGAUUCCUUUCCACCACACCACAACGGGAGCUCCCCCACCUCACCAGUCUUAUCAACAAGGAGCUCAGAUUCCAACUGGACAUGUUGUGACAAGGUGAUGUUGUGGCCCCUCAGGGGAAGAGCAAGAGGCUCCCAAUCCUGCUGCCCCCGUCCUCUGGUGUGGCCUUUGUGCACUGGCCCUGGGGGCCUGCAGGCCCUCUGCUCUCGCACACAAUCCCUACGGGCAGCACAGGCGCCGUCCCCGGCCGGGGCCUGCCUGCAGAGACACAGCACCAGCUCCCACAGCCCCAGGAAGCUCUCCUUGCUCAGACCUGGGGCCUUGCUGCCUUUGCACGUGCUUACGAGACUACCUGCUCUGCCUCUGGACUCAGAGGGGCUUGGGACACAGCGGAAGCCCGCAUCCAGAAAUCUGGGCCACUGAAACCUGUAGCAUGUGGACCUGUCUCCCAGGGGCCUAUCUCGCAUCAGCAGCUUUGACAAACAUGCUCAGGAUUAGAAUCACUGGAACCUUCAACCCCGCACCUUUCUGUAGCUUUUUUUUUUCCCUCACUGCACUUGCAGCAUGCAGAAGUUCCCAGGCCAGGGACUGAACCCAUGCCACUGCAGUAACCCAAGCCUCAGCAGUGACAAUGCUGGAUCCUUAACCUGCUGAGUCCCCUCGAGUGUGGUCCGCAGUCUGCUGCCUGUUCCUUCAUGUUUUCUUUCUGCUUAAUCUGAGCUCUGCAGGCUGCCUCCGUCCUACUGAAGUGUUUACCGGCAGUGAAGGACCUCCUUGCAAAAAAGUGCUGCAUCUUUCCUCAGGCCACUUUCUUUCUUCCUGGGCUGUUGUGACCCCCCACCUCCUGCUCAGCAGCCAGGCCUUUCCUGGUUCCUUGGCUCCUGGGCAGGUCCCGCCAGGUGCCCUUGUCUGGACCAUGUGCCCUCUGGUUGGGAUCCCCAACAGGUGGAUUUAGGGGUGUGCCUAGGAGCGCCUCCCUGUUCUUCAAAGGAUAGAUUUGAUCUUUUCAGGGGAGUUGCUGCAAAGUUUAGUCUUGAAUCUCCAGCCCUGACUCCCCUUCUGAGUCAAAAUUGCUGUCUGGCUAUUUCAGCCUGGGCAUCUCUUCAGCGUCGAUGUUUCCAACGGGAACCUUAUUCCCCCCACGUCCUCAUCCCAGCGUCUGUUACGAGGGCAUCUCUGUCCAUCUUCUGAGCUUGGAAAUUGCAGCCAACUUGGACGCUUUCACGUCCUCGCCCCCUUGGAAGUGUGGCCAAAUUCUGCUCUUUCAAACAGUUUAGAUUUGUCUCCAGUCUCUGUGCUUGUCGCCUCUGGCCACAGCUUCAGCCUGGGCCCCACUUGGGCGUCCUACUGCUGGACUAAAGCAUAAUUUUUGCACAGCACCCUCUGUUCAGAUACCCUAAGCGACUCCUUCAGGCUGAUAAUGGGUCAAGUCCAGUUUCUUCUGCCUCGAUUCCAAAGCCCUGUGUCACCUGACCCCAGCCUACCACGUCUAACCACACUCCCCACACCCUCUCCUGAGCCCGACAGCUAUGGGAUGAGGGGAAUCUAAGGAGGAAGACGGUGGAGCCCCUCCUCCAAGACCCUCCCAGGGAAGUAGAGGCUGUCGCCAGGUACACAGCAGUAAUUAGAGUGUAGGUGCUCUGUCCCAGGCAGAGUAAGCCUCUGGGGCCCCAGGGGAUAGACCCGUCACUGUGGUCACUUCCUGUCAACUCAGGACAUGACAGUGUUUCUUUUUUCUUUUUUUUUUUUGGCUUUUUGCCUUUUCUGGGGCUGUUCGAUCCCUGGCCUCGUUCAGUGAGUUAAGCAUCCGGCAUUGCCAUGAGCGGCAGUGUAGGUUACAGAUGUGGCUUGGAUCUGGCGUUGCUGUGGCUGUGGUGUAGGCCAGCGGCUAUAGCUCCUUCCUAUUCAACCCCUAGCCUGGGAAUUCCAUAUGCUGCAGGUACGGCCCUAAAAAGAUAGGUAAAUACAUAAAUUAAUUAAAUUUAAUUUAAAAAUAAAUAACUUUUUUUGAGGAGGAAAAAAAUAUAACUCUUCUCUCUCAAACAGGGUGAGUUUUUAAGGUAGCUUGAGAAGCCUGUGCCUCCUUUUCACCCAUUUUUUUGGGCGGGGGGUAAUGUUUUACCUGAAUUUGUAUUUUUGAAAGAACUCUUUUAAAAGUUCUUGUUAUUGGUGAAUAUCCCACUGAAUGUUCAUGUGGAAAUUAAAGAUAAAUACCUGGCAAGCAUGAAAAUGGUCUUCCUGGAGGGUUAGCUCUUUUUGUCAAAUACACACAAAAAAGCGCGGAGCUCAGCGGAGCUGAGGUUCCUGGUGGGUUCUGCCCUCUUUCUGUGAAGGGCUCACAUUUCAAGAGCUCCCCUCAGCCACUCCCUAUUGGACCCUCCACAGAUAAAUUUGGCGUGACAACCUCUGGGAACCCAGGGUCCCAGGUGCAGGUGUCUGUGGAGAGAAUUCCAUCUCUGUGGCA
rnacentral:lncRNA from 1 species